ACUGAACGCUGGCGGCAGGCUUAACACAUGCAAGUCGAGCGGGGAAAGGUAGCUUGCUACUGGACCUAGCGGCGGACGGGUGAGUAAUACUUAGGAAUCUGCCUAUUAGUGGGGGACAACAUCUCGAAAGGGAUGCUAAUACCGCAUACGUCCUACGGGAGAAAGCAGGGGACCUUCGGGCCUUGCGCUAAUAGAUGAGCCUAAGUCGGAUUAGCUAGUUGGUGGGGUAAAGGCCUACCAAGGCGACGAUCUGUAGCGGGUCUGAGAGGAUGAUCCGCCACACUGGGACUGAGACACGGCCCAGACUCCUACGGGAGGCAACAGUGGGGAAUAUUGGACAAUGGGGGGAACCCUGAUCCAGCCAUGCCGCGUGUGUGAAGAAGGCCUUUUGGUUGUAAAGCACUUUAAGCGAGGAGGAGGCUACCGAGAUUAAUACUCUUGGAUAGUGGACGUUACUCGCAGAAUAAGCACCGGCUAACUCUGUGCCAGCAGCCGCCGUAAGAC
rnacentral:rRNA from 1 species